rnacentral:rRNA from 1 species
UACGUAGGGGGCAAGCGUUGUCCGGAUUUAUUGGGCGUAAAGAGCGUGUAGGCGGCCGUGUAGGUCCGUUGUGAAAACUCGAGGCUCAACCUCGAGACGUCGAUGGAAACCACACGGCUAGAGUCCGGAAGAGGAGAGUGGAAUUCCUGGUGUAGCGGUGAAAUGCGCAGAUAUCAGGAAGUACACCUAUGGCGAAGGCAGCUCUCUGGGACGGUACUGACGCUGAGACGCGAAAGCGUGGGGAGCGAACAGG